rnacentral:rRNA from 1 species
UAGGGAAUCUUCGGCAAUGGGGGGAACCCUGACCGAGCAACGCCGCGUGAGUGAAGAAGGUUUUCGGAUCGUAAAGCUCUGUUGUUAAGGAAGAACGAGUGUGAGAAUGGAAAGUUCAUACUGUGACGGUACUUAACCAGAAAGGGACGGCUAACUACGUGCCAGCAGCCGCGGUAAUACGUAGGUCCCGAGCGUUGUCCGGAUUUAUUGGGCGUAAAGCGAGCGCAGGCGGUUAGAUAAGUCUGAAGUUAAAGGCAGUGGCUCAACCAUUGUAGGCUUUGGAAACUGUUUAACUUGAGUGCAGAAGGGGAGAGUGGAAUUCCAUGUGUAGCGGUGAAAUGCGUAGAUAUAUGGAGGAACACCGGUGGCGAAAGCGGCUCUCUGGUCUGUAACUGACGCUGAGGCUCGAAAGCGUGGGGAGCGAACAGGAUUAGAUACCCUGGUAGUCCACGCCGUAAACGAUGAGUGCUAGGUGUUAGGUCCUUUCCGGGACUUAUUGCCGCAGCUAACGCAUUAAGCACUCCGCCUGGGGAGUACGACCGCAAGGUUG